CUUAAAGCUGUUCUCAGUUCGGACUGCAGUCUGCAACUCGACUGCACGAAGCUGGAAUCGCUAGUAAUCGCGGAUCAGCACGCCGCGGUGAAUACGUUCCCGGGCCUUGUACACACCGCCCGUCACACCAUGGAAGUCUGCAAUGCCCGAAGCCGGUGGCCUAACCACUUAUGUGGAAGGAGCCGUCUAAGGCAGGGCAGAUGACUGGGGUGAAGUCGUAACAAGGUAGC
rnacentral:rRNA from 1 species